GAUUCUGGCUCAGGAUGAACGCUAGCGGCAGGCUUAACACAUGCAAGUCGAGGGGCAGCGGGAUGUAGCAAUACAUUGCCGGCGACCGGCGGAUGGGUGCGUAACGCGUAUGCAACCUACCUUAUACAGGGGAAUAACCUUUCGAAAGGGAGACUAACACCCCAUGGUAUUGAUUUAAGGCAUCUUAGAUUAAUUAAAUAUUUAUAGGUAUAAGAUGGGCAUGCGUAUGAUUAGCUAGUUGGUAAGGUAACGGCUUACCAAGGCGACGAUCAUUAGGGGUUCUGAGAGGAAGGUCCCCCACACUGGUACUGAGACACGGACCAGACUCCUACGGGAGGCAGCAGUGAGGAAUAUUGGUCAAUGGGCGCAAGCCUGAACCAGCCAUGCCGCGUGCAAGGAAGACGGCCUGAUGGGUUGUAAACUGUCUUUUACAUAAGACUAACCGUAUUAUUUGCGAAUAUACCUGAAUGUAUUAUGAGAAUAAGGAUCGGCUAACUCCGUGCCAGCCGCAGC
rnacentral:rRNA from 1 species